rnacentral:lncRNA from 1 species
UGCUAUUAUGUGCUUUUAGUUGAUGUUGAUUCAUAAGCUCCAUUACUCAUGAAGAAUAAUUUUUUAUGGUUUCUUCGUGUUAUAUGCAUUUUCAAAUAUUCAAACUCACAUCGUAAUGAUUGAAGCUUGACUAUUCUUAUCUUUUUUAUUCCUUCAAAUUCAUUCUUCGAAAUUUCUAAUGCUUCUUUGGCUGAAGUGACAUUCAUUAUACAUGGAAAUAUUG